CCUACGGGAGGCAGCAGUGGGGAAUAUUGCACAAUGGGCGCAAGCCUGAUGCAGCCAUGCCGCGUGUGUGAAGAAGGCCUUCGGGUUGUAAAGCACUUUCAGCGGGGAGGAAGGCGGUGAGGUUAAUAACCUCAUCGAUUGACGUUACCCGCAGAAGAAGCACCGGCUAACUCCGUGCCAGCAGCCGCGGUAAUACGGAGGGUGCAAGCGUUAAUCGGAAUUACUGGGCGUAAAGCGCACGCAGGCGGUCUGUCAAGUCGGAUGUGAAAUCCCCGGGCUCAACCUGGGAACUGCAUUCGAAACUGGCAGGCUAGAGUCUUGUAGAGGGGGGUAGCAUUCCAGGUGUAGCGGUGAAAUGCGUAGAGAUCUGGAGGAAUACCGGUGGCGAAGGCGGCCCCCUGGACAAAGACUGACGCUCAGGUGCGAAAGCGUGGGGAGCAAACAGGAUUAGAUACCCUUGUAGUC
rnacentral:rRNA from 1 species